CCUACGGGUGGCAGCAGUGGGGAAUAUUGGGCAAUGGGCGCAAGCCUGACCCAGCAACGCCGCGUGAAGGAAGAAGGCUUUCGGGUUGUAAACUUCUUUUAAGAAGGAAGAGUAGAAGACGGUACCUCUCGAAUAAGCCACGGCUAACUACGUGCCAGCAGCCGCGGUAAUACGUACGUCGCAAGCGUUGUCCGGAUUUACGGGGUGUAAAGGGCGUGUAGGCGGGCCGGCAAGUCAGAUGUGAAAUUCCAAGGCUCAACCUUGGAACUGCAUGUGACACUGUUAGUCUUGAGUAUCGGAGAGGCAGGCGGAAUUCGUAGUGUAGCGGUGAAAUGCGUAGAUAUUAGGAGGAACACCAGUGGCGAAGGCGGCCUGCUGGACGGCAACUGACGGUGAGGCGCGAAAGCGUGGGGAGCAAACAGGAUUAGAUACCCCAGUAGUC
rnacentral:rRNA from 1 species